UACGUAGGUGGCAAGCGUUGUCCGGAUUUAUUGGGUUUAAAGGGUGCGUAGGCGGUCUUAUAAGUCAGUGCUGAAAUAUCCCGGCUUAACCGGGAGGGUGGCAUUGAUACUGUAGGACUUGAGUAAAGUUGAGGUUGGCGGAAUUGACGGUGUAGCGGUGAAAUGCUUAGAUAUCGUCAAGAACACCUAUAGCGAAGGCAGCUAACUAAACUUUAACUGACGCUGAGGCACGAAAGCGUGGGGAGCGAACAGG
rnacentral:rRNA from 1 species